CUUGAAUAACCAUAAGAGGUCCAGCCUGCCCAGUGAUAUAAUUUAACGGCCGCGGUACCCUGACCGUGCAAAGGUAGCAUAAUCACUUGUUCUCUAAAUAAGGACUAGUAUCAACGGCAUCACGAGGGUUAUACUGUCUCCUCUUUUUAAUCAGUGAAAUUGACCUCUCCGUGAAGAGGCGGGGAUAAUUAUACAAGACGAGAAGACCCCAUGGAGCUUUAAACCCAAUAACAGCCCACACAAGUUUUACCCUAAAAUGAAAAAGCAAUGUUUAUUGGUUUUAGGUUGGGGUGACCACGGAGAAAAACCAAACCUCCACGAUGAAUGGACCUUAAUCCUAAUCUACGAGAUACUACUCCAAGAAUCAAUAAUUUGACAUAAUAUGAUCCGACAACGAUCAACGAACCA
rnacentral:rRNA from 1 species